AUGUCUAGAAAUCCCUUGGAGCACUACUCUAGAGGAUAUUAUGGGCUUAUGUCCAGUAAUGGUAAUAGAGUUGUUCCCACUAUAGAUUUCCAUUGUGUAUUAGAAAAGGAAAUGGUGUAUAUUUCUUUCGUCUUAGGAGCCAGGCUGAUGGGUCUGCUUGAAAUUCCUCGGGUGGAGAAAACACAACCUGAAGAGCUUUGCUUUUGA
rnacentral:rRNA from 1 species